AUUAAUUUAUUUAAAUGAAAAUUUGAGGGAGGAUAUAUUUUUAUUAUGUAUUGAAUAUCGCACUCCCAGGGCAUCUUAUACUAUUCUUAUAAUUAUUUUAUAUUUUUUAUUAUGAAUAAAGGUGCACCUAUAGCGUACACGCUGGGACCCGAAAGAUGGUGAACUAUGCCUGGUCAGGACGAAGUCAGGGGAAACCCUGAUGGAGGUCCGUAGCGAUU
rnacentral:rRNA from 1 species